rnacentral:rRNA from 1 species
GAUGAACGCUGGCGGCGUGCCUAAUACAUGCAAGUCGAGCGAACGGACGAGAAGCUUGCUUCUCUGAUGUUAGCGGCGGACGGGUGAGUAACACGUGGAUAACCUACCUAUAAGACUGGGAUAACUUCGGGAAACCGGAGCUAAUACCGGAUAAUAUUUUGAACCGCAUGGUUCAAAAGUGAAAGACGGUCUUGCUGUCACUUAUAGAUGGAUCCGCGCUGCAUUAGCUAGUUGGUAAGGUAACGGCUUACCAAGGCAACGAUGCAUAGCCGACCUGAGAGGGUGAUCGGCCACACGGGAACUGAGACACGGUCCAGACUCCUACGGGAGGCAGCAGUAGGGAAUCUUCCGCAAUGGGCGAAAGCCUGACGGAGCAACGCCGCGGGAGUGAUGAAGGUCUUCGGAUCGUAAAACUCUGUUAUUAGGGAAGAACAUAUGUGUAAGUAACUGUGCACAUCUUGACGGUACCUAAUCAGAAAGCCACGGCUAACUACGUG